rnacentral:rRNA from 1 species
UUGAACGCUGGCGGCAUGCUUUACACCUGCAAGUCGAACGGCAGCGGGGAGGAGCUUGCUUCUCUGCCGGCGAGUGGCGAACGGGUGAGUAAUACAUCGGAACGUGUCGAGAAGAGGGGGAUAACCACCCGAAAGGGUGGCUAAUACCGCAUAAAUUCUGAGGAAGAAAGCUGGGGACCUGGGAAUAGGCCUAGCGCUUUUUGAGCGGCCGAUGUCGGAUUAGCUAGUUGGUGAGGUAAAGGCUCACCAAGGCGAAGAUCUGUAGCGGGUCUGAGAGGAUGAUCCGCCACACUGGGACUGAGACACGGCCCAGACUCCUACGGGAGGCAGCAGUGGGGAAUUUUGGACAAUGGGGGCAACCCUGAUCCAGCCAUGCCGCGUGUAUGAAGAAGGCCUUAGGGUUGUAAAGUACUUUUGUUAGGGAAGAAAAGUCAGCUGUGAAUAAUGGCUGAUACUGACGGUACCUAAAGAAUAAGCACCGGCUAACUACGUG